AGAAUCAUUCGCAAUGGGGGAAACCCUGACGGUGCGACGCCGCGUGGAGGAUGAAGGUCUUCGGAUUGUAAACUCCUGUCAUCGGUGCGUAAAGUUGGCGUGGUCAAUAGCUGCGCUAGUUGUCAGUAGCCGAAGAGGAAGGGACGGCUAACUUCGUGCCAGCAGCCGCGGGAAUACGAAGGUCCCGAGCGUUGUUCGGAAUCACUGGGCGUAAAGGGUGCGUAGGCGGCGUGGCAAGUCGGAUGGGAAAGCCCGGGGCUCAACCCCGGAAUGGCAUUGGAUACUGCCGUGCUGGAGUGGUGGAGAGGGAUCUGGAAUUCACGGUGUAGCAGUGAAAUGCGUAGAGAUCGUGAGGAAGGCUCGUGGCGAAGGCGAGAUCCUGGACACUGACUGACGCUGAGGCACGAAGGCCAGGGGAGCGAAA
rnacentral:rRNA from 1 species